rnacentral:tRNA from 1 species
GAAGGUAUGUCUCAGUGGCAGAGCACGUGCUUAACAUGCACGAGGUCCUGGGUUCAAUCCCCAGUGCCGCCA